UCACACACUGCAUCCAUCAAUUCUGAAACUCUAUAAAUUCAUAGCAAACCGGGCUAAACCCUAAUCACCGCUGUUUCUCAGGCCUCCAUUUUCUAUAAAACACACACUCACUUGUUUACUCUCUGUAUAGAAUUGUAUUUGUGGAAUGCUUUCCUAGAGGGAGAUUCAUUGUGUUUGAUAUACAUACGUUCAGAUACUACUCUUACAUUAUUUAUUCGUGUAUGUAAAUCUGUAAUCACACGGAUUUUUGUUGUUAUUGAUAUAUGUGGGCGCGAUGAUGAGGAAUGAAUAAUCUCGUUAAUCUGAUUGAUUUGAUUUGCCAGAAGCCGAACCCAUAAACAAAUGAAGUAAAUGGUUUUAGGAUUCGAGAAAAACAUUGCUCCUCCUGGAUAAGAAGUACAGAAAUUGAAAUUGAAACCUUUUCGAACCUUUCCUGCAUAACGGCCGCAAGGGAAUUUUGAUGCCAGGCCGUAACUGCAUCGUUCUCUGAGUUGCCUCUUUCAAGAUGUUCCUCGUUUUUAAUUUCACACGUUGUUGUGACAAAAAAAAAUAAAAAAAUUCACACCUUGUAAACAUACUUGAUCCAAGUCCUUUUAAUAUUAAAAUAUUAUUAUUAUC